UUAUGUAACAGGUCAAAAUGAACUGUUUAUUGAAAAUUCAUAUAUUUUCAUUACUCUUAAUAAUUCGUCUGUAAGUAAUAGAUGCCUUUAGAGGAAGUGCACAAGAAGUAGUAAAAAAAUAGAAAUGUUAAACAAUCUUCAUGCUUUUUAGGAAGUAUGAUUCACACUCUUUCUGGGUAAGAGUGAUGCUGAAUGGUCUUUGGGUCAAAACAUCACAUUCCAGAGCUAUGAGCUUGUAUUAUGGUCAAGGCUUAUGGAGAGUGAUGACUGCAUAAAAGGGAGAGAGGAGUUUGCUCCAAUUCACUCCUGCACUGCACCCCAUUCAUGGGGCAGGCAGAGAGGCUUCUUCAUUUUCGGGUCAGAAUUCUAGGUAAGAUAUUAUUUUGUCAAUUCUGUUAGUUUUGAACAAUAGUUUAUAAAGUUGGUUAACAAUGUAUUUUCUAUUGUUCGGAAUAAGAGGUUAGGUUAUAUUAAAGUGCUAUCUAUGCUAGCAUAGCAUACAUGUAUUUGUCUUAUUCUAAGGGGUUUUGUGAAUUGAAUAAUUAAUUAGUUGUGCAUCUGUCUUUGUCACUUCAGAUGAUUUUUGUGAUAUUUUAUAUUAAUUACUUGUAAUUGUAUACUUGAUUGUAGUAUGUAGUAAUAAACAUAAAAUGUGUUCGGUUCUAAUCAUAAAGUAAAACGGUUUAGUAAAAUGAUCUUUAGAGUUGAAGAUUUUGGUUAUUGAAUUGUAAAUUCAAUGUUUCAGUUUUGUGUUUUCAGAGUAAAGGGUCACAACGAUUGCUUACUAUGUGUAAUAAUUGUUACUUUCCUUUUAAAGGUAUUUGACAUGACAUUCGUGUAGCGGGUGAGGCUAUCACGAGAGGAAAUAAUAUGGUCCUCUAGGCCAGAUUGCCAGGGUUUUUUUUUUAUUUCUUUAUCUUUUGUUCCUGUACAUGUACUUGGAAAUUGUGGAAUUUUGUAUAUAACGACUCAUCGAUAUUAAACGAACCGAAACACAAGGAAUGGUGUCGUGUGUCAUCUUUCUGCAUCAGUUUCCGCGUGUUACAAGUGGCGUUGUCAGCAGGAUCGAUGUUCGUCGUUGGAUACAACCAAGUUCAAACCCUGACAAUCUGAGGAGCUCAUCCGUGGACAUCUUGAUUUGUAAAUAUGAACGUAGCUUUAACACUGUUUAAGAUGUAUUUGUGUGUGUGCAUAGUGUGAAUGCUGUAGCCAAAAUGUAGUUUGGUUUAAAAUAAUGUGGGGCUACAAGUGUAGUUAAUAGGGACUAAUACUAGUGGGAAGGUAUUUUAAGAGAUACCCUGUAAGAGUUUUCAGACCAAAUGGCUUUGGUCAAGGGAAUACUGAGUACUGUUGAAGAUUAGUUUUGUGUUGUCAUGGUAAUGCUGUGGUUUGGAACAGUCCAUGCCCCCCUUCUUAUGUAAUUUUGGCUGGUUGGAUGGGAACCACACAUUGGGGUGUAGGAAGCCAGAGACACCAGUAUUUUAUAUGUUGAUAGGAGGGAGUACAGUAUGUGCAGAGAAGCUCUGGGUUUGGCAAACAUGAUUAACUAUGAAUAGUUGAGGCGUUUCUUUGUCUGAUACUUGAAGUUUGUUAACUUUUUAAUUUUUGUUUUGGAUCUUGAUUAAUAUUCGGUUUAAUUACAUGUAAGCUAUGGCGUGAAUUAAUGUUAAUUAAUUGCUUGAUCCAGAAUGUGUAUUUGAUAGUUUUAGGGGCUACUUUGGAAAAAAAGUAGGGGAGCCCACGUGUUGAUGAAAGUGUUUUACUUUCAUGUGUCUGUGUGUUAUAAUGGUUAUCAUAUUGUAAUAUGCUGAUCUUUCUGAUUUGUAACUGGGAUUUGGCUAGGAGUACUGCUAGGUUUAGUCAGGAUAAAGUAUCAAUGUUAAUUUCGAGAACCUCAAUCUGAGACCGGGAUUGCAUUAGAGGGAUACUGGAGUGACUAUUGGGGCAGUAAGGUUUUUCUCUUUACCUUUGUUUAUCUGUUAACCUUCGAGGCCGGAAAGGACGCAGUGGUAGUUGAGAGAAUUAGUCAUAAGUUAUGAGAUUUUUCAGUGUGUUAUAUUGGUAUACCAUUGUUCCAUUUGAAAUUGCUAAGAUUUGGGGAAACAUCUAGUAAUUGUUAUUUGUUUAUUGUCUUGUAAUUCUUUAACAGUUUGAAUCGGCUUAAAGUAUAAGUAGGUAUAUUUUUGGAGGUUUAAGGAUGGCAUUGUAGUGAUUGAUUUUACUGGCUAUAAUUUUAUAAAGGUCUGUUAUUCGUUGAGAUACAUGGAUUGUGAAGGUUUAUGUUGAUAACUAAACAAUUGGUUGGUAUAAACUCUGGAGCUGUUAGGAUCAGUUAGGAAGCACUUGGAAUGUUCAAUGCUAGGAACCUCAACAUGAGACUAGUAUUACAUAAUAUGGAGUGUACUUGAAAACUGAAACAGUUGAGUUUUUGCACUAGAUAUGUUUUCUGUGUUUAUUCUCGUCACGAGACCAGGAAGUUCGUAUUAGUGGUGCGGGUUCGCCAAUACCGUGUUAUUGCCGAGAUUUUUAUAUUCUGUAUCGGGUGAUUACUGGCUUUAUAUAUUUAGUGCCAUGAUUAAUUGUAAAUUGAUUUGUUCUGUAACUGGGAACAAGCAUCUCCAGGUAGUGUUAUUUUAAGUAGGACUUUAAUUUUUGUAAUAAUUUUGGUAUAGUGAGUGCCGGGACGUCACUCAAUUAAGUAGGGGAGUAUGUAACAGGUCAAAAUGAACUGUUUAUUGAAAAUUCAUAUAUUUUCAUUACUCUUAAUAAUUCGUCUGUAAGUAAUAGAUGCCUUUAGAGGAAGUGCACAAGAAGUAGUAAAAAAAUAGAAAUGUUAAACAAUCUUCAUGCUUUUUAGGAAGUAUGAUUCACACUCUUUCUGGGUAAGAGUGAUGCUGAAUGGUCUUUGGGUCAAAACAUCACAUUCCAGAGCUAUGAGCUUGUAUUAUGGUCAAGGCUUAUGGAGAGUGAUGACUGCAUAAAAGGGAGAGAGGAGUUUGCUCCAAUUCACUCCUGCACUGCACCCCAUUCAUGGGGCAGGCAGAGAGGCUUCUUCAUUUUCGGGUCAGAAUUCUAGGUAAGAUAUUAUUUUGUCAAUUCUGUUAGUUUUGAACAAUAGUUUAUAAAGUUGGUUAACAAUGUAUUUUCUAUUGUUCGGAAUAAGAGGUUAGGUUAUAUUAAAGUGCUAUCUAUGCUAGCAUAGCAUACAUGUAUUUGUCUUAUUCUAAGGGGUUUUGUGAAUUGAAUAAUUAAUUAGUUGUGCAUCUGUCUUUGUCACUUCAGAUGAUUUUUGUGAUAUUUUAUAUUAAUUACUUGUAAUUGUAUACUUGAUUGUAGUAUGUAGUAAUAAACAUAAAAUGUGUUCGGUUCUAAUCAUAAAGUAAAACGGUUAGUAAAAUGAUCUUUAGAGUUGAAGAUUUUGGUUAUUGAAUUGUAAAUUCAAUGUUUCAGUUUUGUGUUUUCAGAGUAAAGGGUCACAACGAUUGCUUACUAUGUGUAAUAAUUGUUACUUUCCUUUUAAAGGUAUUUGACAUGACAUUCGUGUAGCGGGUGAGGCUAUCACGAGAGGAAAUAAUAUGGUCCUCUAGGCCAGAUUGCCAGGG
rnacentral:lncRNA from 1 species